GGGAAACCUGGGGCUUUGGUGGGAGGGGACGGAGAGACAAUUCUACGGGGCUGUUUGUUAGUGAGUCCCUUAGCAGUUGGGGUUCCCGAAGGUUUGUGGGUUGACCCGGGGUUGCAGUACGUGCCCAUGUGUGCCUUCGCCUCUCCCAAGGGCCCAUCUCUUCCUGGUAGUGCCCUUGUGUACUUAUCCGGGACGUCGUGUUUCUUUCUUGGGACUGUUGUCUGGGUCUGCACGUAGGGCCUGUCCUUGCCAGCGAUCAGACCUUCCGACCCCACCAGGGUCAGAGCUGCCUGGGCCUGAGGGGGCCCUGCCCUGAGGAGGACGCCGAGGCUUUGAGCAGGCCCCCGACAGCUGCUCGCGGGAGCCGCCUCCCGACACCCGAGCCCCGCCGGCGCCUCGCGCUCCCGGCUCUUGGCUCCCUCCGCCUCCCCCUCCCCGC
ensembl:lncRNA